rnacentral:tRNA from 1 species
AUUAAUAAAGGUUUUAAUCCUUUUCUUUUUA